CAAUAGCGUAUAUUUAAGUUGUUGCAGUUAAAAAGCUCGUAGUUGGAUUUUGGGUCGGGGGCACCGGUCCGCCGUUCCGGUGUGCACUGGUGGCCCCUUCCUUUCUGCCGGGGACGUGCGUCGCACUUAAUUGGGUGGCGUUCGGAGUCGGCGUUGUUACUUUGAAAAAAUUAGAGUGUUCAAAGCAAGCCAUCGCUCUGAAUACAUUAGCGUGGAAUAACAUGAUAGGACUCCGGUCUUAUUUUGUUGGUUUCCGAGACUGGAGUAAUGAUUAAGAGGGACAGUCGGGGGCAUCCGUAUUUCAUUGUCAGAGGUGAAAUUCUUGGAUUUAUGAAAGACGAACUUCUGCGAAAGCAUUUGCCAAGGAUGUUUUCAUUAA
rnacentral:rRNA from 1 species